rnacentral:misc_RNA from 1 species
CUAUUGAAUCAUCAUCGUACCUGCCGAAAAAAAAAGCGAGGCGGGGACACGUACAUUUCCGCUGAUCACUUGUACAACUUCUCAAGUAGCGAACCCUGCAAUGCAUAUCUCUGGACUUCAUUGCCGUCUCUUGUUUACCAUCUAGAACUUUUCUGUUGUCGCAAGCAUGAAGCUAAAGUGCAAAGUUGCCUUUCUGGCAUAUGUGCUUGCGUGCCUUUUCAUAGCACAGGCGUCGUUGGCUCACGUUAUCGGUGUCGACUUAGGAUCGGAGUACAUCAAAGUCGCCGGGCCACAUGGUGACAAAGGCGUCGACAUCGUUCUUAAUGAGCAGUCGCGACGGAAAACGGACAAUUUUAUCGGUUUUCGUCGGAGCGAUCUUUACAUUGGCGACACGGCGAAGAGUCUGGCUGCACGGUUCCCUCUGUGCACUGCGAGCGCGGUGAACCAGCUUGUCAGAAUUCGAAAGGACUCAAGCCUCCUUCCCUUUUUCCGUGAUUUGCAGUACGAAUACCACGUCAGUUUCAACAACCAUGGCUCGGCGACUGUGAGCAUCUGCGACACCAAGGACCCGUUUACCGCCGAAGAGCUCUAUUCCAUGGUGCUGUCGUACUGCAAAACCACUGCUGUGAAGGAUGAUGUUGUGGAUCCAAAAGGUGUCGUCGUUACUAUACCAUUUCACACGUCGCCGGCGGAGCGGCGGGCCAUUCUGGAUGCGGCUCGUCUUUCGGGGCUGAGUGUUCUGGGUCUCAUGCAUUCCACAACUGCUGCCGCCUUUUACUAUGGUGUGCGGCAUCGCGGCUUUGGCAACAACACCCUGAGGGUAGUGGUUUUCGAUCUUGGCUCAACGCAUACUGAGGUCGGCGUCUACGAAUUUUUACCGGCUGCGCAGAAGGCACCACUUUCGAGUGCCUUUGGAACGCUUAGGACACUCGGUGUGGUCGAGGAUCGCUCUCUCGGCGGUCGUGCGUUUGACUUAUGUGUUGCGCGGGUGAUCGAAGCCGAGGCGCGUGCGAAGCUUAGCAUCGGCCCGGUGCUGGGUGGGACAACUUCUGCACAGCUGAAGUCGCAGUUCUCGCUUCUCCGCGCUGCAAACAAGGUUCGUGAAACGCUCUCUGUGAACAGUAACACACCUUACACAGUGGAAGGCAUUGCCCCGGAUCGUGACUAUCACUCCAGCAUGACGCGCGCCACUUUCGAGGCCGAAUGCGCCUCACUUUUCCAGCGUGUGAAGGAUUUGGCAACGAGUGUAACAAAGGUCGUGAAUAUUUCAUUCAAAGACCUCAAUUCAUUUGAGAUGAUGGGAGGGCUCUCGCGUACGCCAAAAAUCAUCGCAGACCUCUCCGAGGCCAUUGGCCGAGAUGUAGAUCGCACUAUGAACAUGGACGAAGCAGCGGCGAUCGGUGCAGGCUACUAUGCCGCGAAGCUGUCACCUCUUUACCGUGCAAAGUCGCUAAAGCUGGACGAGACGAUCCCGUACGGAGUCGAUUUCGAGGUAGAACCUCCGUUGAGCAAGGAAAAGCCCGCAGUGAGGCGCCCUUUAUUUGGUGCUGACGGCUUUCUACUGGGCGAUUCGGUGAGCUUAACGUUUAAUCGGACAGAGGACUUUUCGCUCAAUUUUUACAUUGAUGAUGACGCCGCCAGGCCAUUUGUGCGCGUCACCGUCACUGGGGUGAAGCAAGCGCUGACGGAUAUGAAGGCGUUGUCGCCUGCCGUCGAGCACGCAAACAACAGUCACAUGGUUCGACUGCAGAUCGUGCUGAACGAAACUGGCCUUGUGCAGGUCGAGCAUGCGGAGGUGGUUGUGCGCUACGCCGAGGAGGUCACACAGAAGGUGACAGAAAAUGUCACAGAUAAGGCAUCUGGCGAAAGGAAGUCAGUUGAGAAAUCUGUUAAAGUAAUCAAGAUGCGCAUCCGAGCAGCAGACGUGACUGCGACGCUUGCGUGGAAGAACCCUACUGGGCUGACGUCAGAAGAAAUGGAAACUUCGCAAACCAAGCUGAAGACGAUCUGGCAAGCGGAGCAUGUGAAGCAUCUCCGCGCCACGGCGAAGAACAAUUUGGAGGCAUACAUCUUCUGGGCCAAGAAUGAAGGUGUGUCCGAUAACGCUGCGUUGACAGCCGCUGCUGGCGCAGCCGCCGUGCAGCGUGUCAUUGACGAAGCCACAGCGAUGCAGGAGUGGCUUGAAGAAGGCGAGGGUGCAUCAGACAACUGCGCUGCCUCCCAGUACGAGUCGCGGCUGGAGAACCUUCGCGGUAUGGUUGCGGAGCUGACGAAGCAGCCCGAGGAAGCCACGAAGACAGUUACAACAGAUAGCGCCGAUGACAACGAAGGCGAUUUGUGAGCCCAUUUUUGUUCGCAUGUUCUCCUGCACCAUUCACCGUUUUUUUCUCGUUGCUUAUACCACGGAUUUCCAAAAGGUUGCUUGCGCUUUCUUUCGGCCUCACUUACCUCACACUUUCCUUUUUUGUGCUUCGCUGCUGUUCUGUUCUUGUUUCUGCACUUGUCUCUGCUCUGGACUCUCUCAAUCGACGUAGUGCCAGCGGAACGGUCUGCUUGCCCUCCCGCUUCUUCGCUCCAGUCACUCUUCUCGAAGAGACUGUGAUGGAAUGAAGCGCAGGCGUUGGCAUUGCUGUUCGCUUGCGUAGAUGCUCAGAGGAAAGAGACGCGUGCAGGCAAGGAUAAGGAAUAGAUGGCAAAAGCUGUGGACAUGCAUACUUGUUUUAUUGCGGAGGAAUCAACGUGGGCUCUUUUCGUUGUGGUAAUGGGCACUCUGCAGCG